CAGCCGCCGCGGUAAUACGUAGGUGGCAAGCGUUGUCCGGAAUUAUUGGGCGUAAAGGGCUCGCAGGCGGUUUCUUAAGUCUGAUGUGAAAGCCCCCGGCUCAACCGGGGAGGGUCAUUGGAAACUGGGAAACUUGAGUGCAGAAGAGGAGAGUGGAAUUCCACGUGUAGCGGUGAAAUGCGUAGAGAUGUGGAAGAACACCAGUGGCGAAGGCGACUCUCUGGUCUGUAACUGGCGCUGAGGAGCGAAAGCGUGGGGAGCGAACAGGAUUAGAUACCCCUGUAGUCCCUGUCUCUUAUAC
rnacentral:rRNA from 1 species